rnacentral:tRNA from 1 species
ACCCUGGUGGCAUAGUGGUUAAGUGCUAUGGCUGCUAACCAAAGGGUUGGCAGUUUGAAUCUGCCAGGGUG